UACGGGGGGGGGCAAGCGUUGUUCGGAAUUACUGGGCGUAAAGGGCUCGUAGGUGGCCAACUAAGUCAGACGUGAAAUCCCUCAGCUUAACUGGGGGAACUGCGUCUGAUACUGGAUGGCUUGAGUUUGGGAGAGGGAUGCGGAAUUCCAGGUGUAGCGGUGAAAUUCGUAGAUAUUCGGAGGAACACCAGUGGCGAAGGCGGCUCACUGGUCCAUUACUGACGCUGAGGUGCGAAAGCGUGGGGAGCAAACAGG
rnacentral:rRNA from 1 species